rnacentral:rRNA from 1 species
AUGCACGCUGGCGGCGUGCCUAAUCCAUGCCAGUCGAGCGAACAGACGAGGAGCUUGCUCCUCUGACGUUAGCGGCGGACGGGUGAGUAACACGUGGAUAACCUACCUAUAAGACUGGGAUAACUUCGGGAAACCGGAGCUAAUACCGGAUAAUAUAUUGAACCGCAUGGUUCAAUAGUGAAAGACGGUUUUGCUGUCACUUAUAGAUGGAUCCGCGCCGCAUUAGCUAGUUGGUAAGGUAACGGCUUACCAAGGCAACGAUGCGUAGCCGACCUGAGAGGGUGAUCGGCCACACUGGAACUGAGACACGGUCCAGACUCCUACGGGAGGCAGCAGUAGGGAAUCUUCCGCAAUGGGCGAAAGCCUGACGGAGCAACGCCGCGUGAGUGAUGAAGGUCUCCGGAUCGUAAAACUCUGUUAUUAGGGAAGAACAAAUGUGUAAGUAACUAUGCACGUCUUGACGGUACCUAAUCAGAAAGCCACGGCUAACUACGUG